GACGAACGCUGGCGGCGUGCUUAGCACAUGCAAGUCGAACGGAAAGGCCCUGCUUUUGUGGGGUGCUCGAGUGGCGAACGGGUGAGUAACACGUGAGUAACCUGCCCUUGACUUUGGGAUAACUUCAGGAAACUGGGGCUAAUACCGGAUAGGAGCUCCUGCUGCAUGGUGGGGGUUGGAAAGUUUCGGCGGUUGGGGAUGGACUCGCGGCUUAUCAGCUUGUUGGUGGGGUAGUGGCUUACCAAGGCUUUGACGGGUAGCCGGCCUGAGAGGGUGACCGGCCACAUUGGGACUGAGAUACGGCCCAGACUCCUACGGGAGGCAGCAGUGGGGAAUAUUGCACAAUGGGCGGAAGCCUGAUGCAGCAACGCCGCGUGCGGGAUGACGGCCUUCGGGUUGUAAACCGCUUUCGCCUGUGACGAAGCGUGAGUGACGGUAAUGGGUAAAGAAGCACCGGCUAACUACGUGCCAGCAGCCGCGGUGAUACGUAGGGUGCGAGCGUUGUCCGGAUUUAUUGGGCGUAAAGGGCUCGUAGGUGGUUGAUCGCGUCGGAAGUGUAGUCUUGGGGCUUAACCCUGAGCGUGCUUUCGAUACGGGUUGACUUGAGGAAGGUAGGGGAGAAUGGAAUUCCUGGUGGAGCGGUGGAAUGCGCAGAUAUCAGGAGGAACACCAGUGGCGAAGGCGGUUCUCUGGGCCUUUCCUGACGCUGAGGAGCGAAAGCGUGGGGAGCGAACAGGCUUAGAUACCCUGGUAGUCCACGCUGUAAACGGUGGGUACUAGGUGUGGGGUCCAUUCCACGGGUUCCGUGCCGUAGCUAACGCUUUAAGUACCCCGCCUGGGGAGUACGGCCGCAAGGCUAAAACUCAAAGGAAUUGACGGGGCCCCGCACAAGCGGCGGAGCAUGCGGAUUAAUUCGAUGCAACGCGUAGAACCUUACCUGGGUUUGACAUGGAUCGGGAGUGCUCAGAGAUGGGUGUGCCUCUUUUGGGGUCGGUUCACAGGUGGUGCAUGGCUGUCGUCAGCUCGUGUCGUGAGAUGUUGGGUUAAGUCCCGCAACGAGCGCAACCCUUGUUCACUGUUGCCAGCACGUUAUGGUGGGGACUCAGUGGAGACCGCCGGGGUCAACUCGGAGGAAGGUGGGGAUGACGUCAAGUCAUCAUGCCCCUUAUGUCCAGGGCUUCACGCAUGCUACAAUGGCUGGUACAGAGAGUGGCGAGCCUGUGAGGGUGAGCGAAUCUCGGAAAGCCGGUCUCAGUUCGGAUUGGGGUCUGCAACUUGACCUCAUGAAGUCGGAGUCGCUAGUAAUCGCAGAUCAGCAACGCUGCGGUGAAUACGUUCCCGGG
rnacentral:rRNA from 1 species